GCCAUACACACACACUCACACACAGUUGAGCCUUGACUGUUGAGAGAGAAAGUUGUGGGUGGACGUCGCUCCUGCGUCCAUGUUCCCCCCAGCAGUAGUGCCAUUGCCUUGUUCUCUUAGCACGGUCGUGGAUACUUGAGAGGAUAUAUAUACUUAGCACCUCGCGAAAGAAGCAGGGACCUUCCAUGAACUAACUUCCAGAACAGGUGUCCUCCGUUCGAUCGCCGGCAGGAUGACGUGGUUGACGCAAAUAGCCACAGUGCUCGUCCUCGCCCUGACCCUCAUUACCCCAGGUGGAGCCGUCGACUGCUUUCUGUGCAGCUACUCGCCCCGCGGGAACUCGACGAGGACAGACCGCUGCACGGACGAGAACUUCGUCAAGGAGGAGACCGAAGUCGGUUCCUGUAGUCUAGGGUGCGAGUCAGUUCUCAUCACCGAUGUCAAUGGUGAAAUGGAAAGCUUCCAUCGCAACUGCGCCACCAAAAGCACGAUGAUCACCAAUUCCUGCGAGACCCACAAGACCAUCGUGCUGACCAAGCGCGUCUGUUCGUGCGACUGGCCGUACUGCAACUCGGCCUCCAGGCACGGCCUCUCUCCCUCCAAGUUGGUGGCCAUCGUCACCACAGCCAUGGCCGUGUCCUGGUGGUCGACUCUGAGGACCCCAAGAAUAUGAGGUCCUUUCUCGAAGGGUCUUCCUGGAAUGCAUUUUCCCUGAUAGAAGAAGAAGAAGAAGAAGAAGAGUUUCGAAGCGAAGGCAGAAGACAUCUCGUACCCCAGAUGCCAGGACAGACAACCCCACUGCAUGUGUACAGUACUAUAUCGAAGCCCUUAGCAUUAAGUGGCCAUGGUACAAAUGCUAUGAGAUAGUCUUCUCUCGUAAAGGUUUAGAUUAUUUCUACCCACUACAGCAUCAGAAAGAUCAGGACAGAGGAAUUUAUCUCCGCCUUCACCCUUGAUUUCGCAAUGGCGAGGGAGUUUUGAUAUUUCUAAGCCCAUCACAACACAAUUUUACUUUUGCUUAUCCUAUUAACACUACCUACUCAUCCACGUAUUAUCCUGGCGCAUACUACGGCAUACUACUACGUUCAGCAUCUGGUCAUAGCUACUGAAAUUCAGCUCGAAUGUAAUCAGUGGGUCACAUAAGUAUACUUGCUUAGAUUUCUGUCUCGUGAGAAAAAUUCAUUUAGUUCAGACCUCACUCAGUAGAAAACGAUUCGUCUUGAUUCCCUUUUAACCAAUUACAGAAAGUAGGUUUGAAGUUCCGGGAUAUUUCUUAUCUGUUCUCCGAAAUACAAGGAAAGUGUAGUUUCUGUAACGCAUUCUCUCUCUCUCUCUCUCUCUCUCUCUCUCUCUCUCUCUCUCUCUCUCUCUCUCUCUCUCUCUCUCUCUCCUUUGGAAGCUGUUAAAAAUAUAAGUUCUAUUUUCUGUUCUGUCGAAUUACAUUUGGUGGAAUUCAUCUCGUGUUUACCGUAUUCGAUAUGCUGUGCGAAACUUGGAAAAAUGUUUUCGAUUCAGCCUUUGUUCCGACUCGUGAUGGAGUCAUCGUAAAGAGUGACUGAACGCGCCUGAAGGAUGUAUAUCGUGAGUGAACAAGAUGACUUGUCUUAAGGUAGAAUCUGUGUCGGGUGAAUGACGCGUAAGACGCAAAAACUGCUCGACAGAUGAGAUGAACAAAACUUCUGGAGUCAUGAUGAACAGAUACCGUAAAAGGAUGAAAACUAGACGAAAUUUAAACCGAAUCUUUUGGCAGCCUUUGAAGCCACAGCGCCCGAAGUGGACCGUAAAGAAAAUAUCGCACUAUUACAGUAUCGAAGUACAAUUGGCAAUUCACGUUACUUCCAUUAUCAGUUUUGAACGUAUGAGACAAUAAGCGUCAAAUUCGACGCUGAAUGACCACAUGACGCAAAGCAAAUGACGAUAAUGACACAUGACAAACUCGCGCCGAACACAAGCUCGCUUCAGUCACGGGAGUCAUUAAUGCUUGGGUUACACCUCGGGUCUGAAGUGUAAUGAGAUCGUUCAGAAGUGUAAUGAGGUCAUUAUUGACAGAUAUCGUUCGCCUCACCGUAGGCAAUACGCUAAAAGCCAAACCAGCAUUUUAUUUAUAGGCUAAACCUAAUUUGAAAUACCAUCGAAAUAGCUGGCUAACUUUCAUCUUCAGGCCAAAAAAAUACAAUAAAAUAACCAUAUAAGAAUCAGGCGUUUUUCAUAUGAAUAGGUUUCAUUUACUGAAUAAUUAUAAUAAUAAUAUGCCUCAUGGUGCAACGGCAAAAAAAGGAUAAUAAUAAAUAAAUAGAUAAAAAGGCUUGAACAGUUCUGACAUUGUUGACAUCAAUCGAUGGAAAAAAGGAAAAUUCGGAAUUGUGACACAAGGACAUUUAGAGAGGAAAUUAGCUAAGUUAGAUAAGAAAAGAGUUAUUUGGAUUUGUUUCGAAAGGCUUUUUCCUGUAUGUGAAAAAAAAAAAUGUCUCAGAUCACGUAUUUCGGUAUUUUAUUCGCUGUCCACUUGGAGUGCUGUGGCUGAAGGCCGCAAGAGAUUCACCCUACGUUUUGUCUAGGUCUCAUCUUUUUAUGUGCCGUCAGUGUACCUCACGUUGUGCACUGUAGGCAUUACUAAAGGUUCUUUGCAGCGUCCCUUCGGCACCUAGCUGCAACCCCUUUCAUUCCUUUUACUCUACCUCCAUUCAUAUUAUCUUUCUUCCAUCUUGCUAUCCACCCUCCCCUAACUAUUAUUUCGUAGUGCAAUUGCUUUGAGGUUUUCCUCCUAUUAAACCUUUCAAACCUAUCUACUCUUAAUUUUUCUUUUUCAGCACUGAAUGACCUAAAAGGUCCCAGUGCUUGGCCUUCUAAAUAAAUUCUGUAUCCCUCAGGAGAGGUGGAACAGACAUCCUGCCUCUGUGAACUCUCUCGAGAACCUGAGGGUUUCCAGCCCUGUGAUUGGCCUAUCAACAGCCAAUCAGGAGCGUCGUAAGGGACUGGCCUAGACAUCAGAUGCACGCUUGGUGUGAAUCUACUAUAGUUGUCAGGUUUGUUCACUCAUUUCCCUCUCACGGUAAAUAAAGGCGGUUUUCUAAACCUAAGCUUUUCAUCUGUGUGAGGUUCGAGAGAGCCACUGUUAUCAGGCAUUUUUCUCCACAGUCUUGGAAUCUAUCAGCCGCCCUUCUUCACCACCGGCAAGAUGAAUACAUCAGAAAAAGAAAAACAAUCUCCAGCAACUUUCAGAUGCAGUAUUUUAUAGCCAAGGUUCUUUAAAUAUAUUCCGAGAGAGUAUACUUGAAGGACCUUGAUUACAGCAUGAGUUGUGUGUGGAUACUCCGUAUGCAUGAAGUCGUCAUUUUCAGAUUUUGAUAUUUUUUUUUAAUUUACUAUUUUCUUGUCCCAGAACCACGGUUUAGACGGAUACACUCGACGUCAAGACGUCCAAGUUCAUGUUUGAGCGCUGCUGCAGUAUAGUAGACGAUAUUACAUCCUGUCUGGCGGCGUCGUCUCCGUUCACGAAAUUUGAGAAGCCCAGGAUUAGUCGUUUGGGCAUUUCAUUCACGUAGGUUGAAAGUCCUGCUGGUGUCCGAAUUCACGUAGGUUGAAAGUCCUGCUGGUGUCCGAAUUCACGUAGGUUGAAAGUCCUGCUGGUGUCCGAAUCUCAUUCCAACUUAUUUGGAUCAUCAUUUAACGAGAAAUCUGGCGUUAAAACGAUGAAUACUUUUCAUAUGUAACAUAGGGAAAAGUUCGUGUCUGUUAUGAAAUCAAGCGUUCGCAUUUUCGUUUGAGGUUUCUCAGAUAGCUGCUGACCAUGGCGUCGCACCGCCUGUUUUUUUCUUUUUCUUUUUUUUUAUGUUGCCAUCGUGGGCUAUAUUAAUCUUCCUAAUGGGAAGCAGAAGUCGAAAGGUUCUGCUGAUGUGGCGCCAAACCUGAUUCUCCUCCCAGCCAGAAUUUUCGAGUAUUCAGCUUUUUUAUUUUUUUUUAUUUAUUUAUUUAUUUUUUUGUCAUACACAUUUGUGUACCACAUGCUGCCUUUCAUUAACGCUCCGCUUUUCUCUAACCAUCUUUAUUAACGACUUUAUUGUGCCCUUCGACUUUAAUGCAGUAUUCCGUCCAUUUACUCUUCACAAACAACAGAAACGAGGUUUAUUUGAAUAUCAACUUAUGAAAAAUUCCUCACAACUUUAUUAUAGUAUUUGGUCGGUCCUCCUUCGCAAACCAACUAAUUAGAGUGCCAAUGUGUGUUGUAUGUUCAGAAGACCGUAUGUAUAACGACUACGCACAUAUGUAACACGUGAAUUAUUUUAUUCCAUCAUUACUCAAUUUUUGUCUCCCUGAUAAGAGCAGCUGUUAUGUACAACUCGUGUUACUCGUCUUAAGACCACAUCAAACUGCGCAUUUUCUCUCUCUCUCUCUCUCUCUCUCUCUCUCUCUCUCUCUCUCUCUCUCUCUCUCUCUCUCAGAAGCAUCUUUGUUCGUUCGCUAUCUUUUGCUUGGCGUCGAUGGGAGGCGAGUUUGUAACCCUCCAAAGGCCAAGAUACCCUGCAGUAUAAAUCUCGUGUGGCGAAACUUAAUCGCUUUUCUUAAUGACACAACGUCCACAUCGAAUUUCCUUGUUGAUGCCUAUUUUUUUUUUUUUUUUUUUUUUUUUUUUUUUUUUUUUUUUUUUUUUUUUUUGAACGUUCAUACAGAACGUUCCCGGGAGGAAGUUUCUUUAGUGAUAAAAAUGCAUUUCUUUUACUGCAUUUCCUUGAAAAACAAAUAUAACCGAUAGACACGUCAAGUGGCUAAGAUCUGUUGUGGUGGGGGAAAAAAAUUAUCCAUAUUUUACUUUUAUAUAUCUUCAAGAAGUAUUGCUAGUUGUUUGUCAUUGGUUUUUUUUGGUUGCAGGAAAUGUAUAUGUGCUAUAGAUCUUUAUGGGCUGUAAAUUGUAAUGUGUCAGUUGCAUUACUUUCAUGAUUUUUAUGGUUGCUUCUGAGGGCCUCGGUUUCCUUGGUUCGAUGGCAAAUGUCCCUCGAGUUUCUUUCAAGAGAUUCAAGCUGGUAAGCUUUCUCUUACUUUGCUGUUUAUUUUCGUAGUUGCAUUUCGGAAGGAGAAAAUACACUACUUUACUUCGCUUGCAUGUGCGUAGGAAUUGUCGCUUGAUAUACGAGAAGGAUACCUAAAUCACUGUCCAGUCGAGCUUGAUGUUUUUACCACGAUCUGUUACUUGUAAAGUUCGGGUAUUUUGUUCAUUAGUGAAGUACAUUUUUAUGCAUAUGCAGGUCGAGGUAAUUAUAUGAAUGUGGCAAGUUCCCCCUUGUAAUACUUUUCAUUUCUCCUUUCAAAGUUUCAUUUCGGUUAUGUCUAACCUUACAGUACCUUAUCUUUUAAGCAGCUUUAAUCGCCCGUUUAUGAGAAUAAAGAUAUCCCCCUUUUGAUAGAAUUGAGGACCAGAAGAACACACGAAUAUGACGCGAAAUAAGCGCCUCAGUGGCGUGGUUGAUUUUGGUGUUUGCUUCUCACCUCGGUGGUCGCGGGUUCGAUUCUCGGCCAUUCCAUUGAGGAGUGAGAGAUGUGUAUUUCUGGUGAUAGACGUUCACUCUCGACGUGGUUCGGAAAUCACGUAAAGCCGUUGGUCCCGUUGCUGAAUAACCACUGGUUCCAUGCAACGUAAAAACACCAUACAAACAAAAAUGACGCGAAAUACCGCGAGAAAACACAGUGAUCCCUGAAGGGAGGAAAUCCGCUGGAAACCAGAGUGCUCUUAGAUACUAUACUUUGCCCCAUGACAUUUAGACGUUGUGAGUCGACGUUAUCAUCUUUUUUUACUGUUUUGCCAUUUCCCUUUCCUCGAUCACACACUUACACAUGACCUAUAUAUACAUUCAUCUCACUGUCUUGAAUUGACUGAUGUAGUAGGGUUUGAUUUGGUUCUGGUGUCGCUUGCUGACUUGCAGCCCAAACAUGGUCUUGGUCGGUCGGUCCCUUUUGUAUCCUAGUUUUCGCGAAUGAGUUGAUGCCGUGAUGCGUGUCCUUGUGUCCCCUUUCCAUUUGGGCUUUCGAGAACAGACUCAACCUGAGUGUGUGUGUGGUAAGUUGAUAUAUUUUGAAAAUACACUGAUGUAAGCGUAAGAGAAUAUAUUGACAUUAUAGACACAUCCGAUGUUAGUUAGUGAUAUUUUGCUCAAAAUGCAAAUGAUUAAGGGCCAUUGGAGAAGUAUAUCAGGUUACGUGCAAUGUGUUAUGGUUAACGUGAAUAACAUUAAAUAAAAUUACAAUAUUAUCUGC